ensembl:lncRNA
AUAAGAGAAAGGACAAGGGCUGAAAUGGCAGAGCCCAGGGCUGUAAACAACAAAAAGUGAUCAGUCAAAGAAAUGAAGUCAUGGAAGCUGAAAAAGCAUGUUUUAGGGGUGGAAAACAGAGCAAAGAACAGCUCUGCACAGCAGACACCUGAAGAUACUGACAUUAUCAUCAUUCUCCCAGAACAAUAUGAGUAAGAGAGGAAAAAAAAUGCUCAGCAGUCACAGAGCACACAUUACAGCCACUCAGCUGGAGCAGCACCUUCACUGAGGCCCUACAUACCCACUCUGGUAUAAAUUGCAAAUUCCUGCAAGAAACAUUACUCUUCCACAUGACUCUGCAGUGCGUACAGAUGAUUCCCACUGACACACUAGUGUGUUUUAAUGUGUUCUUCCUGCUUUUCUAAGAUUUGAGUAUGAUAAGAUGACUGAAAAACGCCCAGCAUCUUUGUUUCUGCACGAUGGCAGAGCUACUGUACGCUCUAUCAAAAUGGUCUUCAAGCCAAGGAUCACAGAACAAACAAAUCCCCUGACGAUACUGGACAUGCAGGAUCCAUUACAACAGUUUCUUGCCCACAAAGGCAGAGUCUGUUCCUAACUGUGCUAGCUUUAUUGCUUGGAGAAAACUGCCCAAAACAGGUGCAGCAACACCAAGAAAAGAAGCCAAUGACCCGGAGUUCAAAGGGCUUUGAGCGCCUCGGUGGAAGUGCAGGCUGACUGAAAGUAGCCCAAACUGCUCAGGCUACUCCUCCCUGCAACGCUAACCAGAUUUCAUGCAGUUGUUAUUCCCCUGAUUAUUUCAGCACUUCCAACUUUUGCUUAGAAAUUUCCAAAUCUUAGCUGAAAUAGAUUAAUACAGGAAAGAAAAUUCCAGUAGUUCCUUCUCAAACCAUCUAAAUAAUCCACUGGAUUUCCAAAGCUGCUAUGUGCAAGUCUCACUCAAGUCUCACUCAACAGCAAGAGCUUCAGUGGGAAUUCGGUGCCCCUGAAAGUCCAGCAAUAUGCAAAUGUCAGGCUACAGGCAAACUGGAAAUGAUAAUGGCAAAUGAAAUGAGAGAACGUCUAUAGGAGAGACAGUACCCUCUGGUGAAGAGGAUACCAAAUCUGUCUGCUGCAGAGAUUUUCAGGUUAUGUUUGGAAAAAUGCAGUUGUUAGUAAAUUAAAAAGUUUUCAUUGGCAGAUUAGCACCUAAAUCCUUUGCAGAAGAAGAGAAUUAAAGGGGAAUUUUAAUGAGGAAAGGAUAGUCAGUGGGAACAGGGAGCCAUCCCCUGCGUGCAGUAUAUAUGCCUUUACAAUGUGCAUGCAUUUUACUUGUGUUUCCCAUCUUUCUCUCUGCCCUGUAAUUUGAGGCUGUGUGUUCAAACAGUGAACUCAGAGCUGCAGAAAGGAAGUUGCAGACAACCUACAAUUUACUGCCAAACAUGAUUCUGAAGAGGUUUGCAAUUGGUGAUAAUGGUAUUGUUACUUCAAUUCUUCUCUUGUAGAUCAUCCUCAUUACACACAAUGCUUUACAAAGCCCUCUGUGUUUAGCAGCAUUAGCCCCUCAAGCAAGAGAUUACAGUAAGAAUAUUUAAAAUUUUAUUACUGCAGCUAUUUUUAAGUCCUUAGAGGCAGUGAGUACAAGGUAGGAGUGGGUAGUGCCAGGAAAAAUCAUUUCUGUUUGUAUCAGGCAACAAAUAAACCAGACGCAUCUAAUAAAACUUGACAUAACAAACCCUCAGUGCAAUUAGCCUUUAGAUUAGUAAUUCUAUAAUUCAGCUGUUCAGCAAUGACUCAAACCUGUUGUAUGCGAUCCUUCAAGUAACUACAUAAAUAGCUUUAGAAAGCAAAACAGAGACCUGCAAUUUAUCAUUCCAAAUAUGUACUUUCCAAAAUGUACUUUUCCAUUAUGGAUCUCAGAGGUAUUUCGAGAUCAAACUGUCUGAAGAUGAUUUGGAUUAAAUAGAUGGGCUUUACCCAAAGCGGUCUAAGGCUCCUUUGAGAGUGUAUAAUCUCUGCCAGCACUGAAUGAGCUUGGAAAGCGUACCCUCACACAACAAGAGGCCGUUUCUCUGCUGAAGGUUUUACUUCACUGCUUUCUCCAGUAAAAUAUGCAUCGCCUCCUACCUCUGAGGAGGGAGGGAUGUAUGCAAAGACCAUCACUGAGCACAGCCUUGCAUGCAGGAUUCAAAUGGGAGAUGUUUGCUGCUUCUUGAGCCUAGAGGCUGAGGACUGCUUCCAAUUAAGAUACUGCUCAAAUACACAUAGGAACCUCAUCUGCCAAAUCCAAGGGUGUUGGUUUUUUAAAAUUUAUUUUGAUUUCUGAUAUUGGUUUUGCUGAGUUUUUCCACCGAUGACUCCUUCCAGAAAUAUUAUUUUGUGUCAUCAAAGACCUCCUGAGGAAGGGGAGCAUUCAGCUCUGCUGCAGUGCUGUAAUUCAAGGCCCACAUGCAAUUGCUCAGGACCUGUGACACUGUACUUGGCUGCCAGAUUAUUCCUGUACCUCUGCACUGUAGCGUGUCACCUGGAGUGUUACAUUCAAAUAGUUAUAACUUUCCUUUUCUGUGCUCCAGCAUCUUUCUUUUCUUUAGCUCAGAUAAACCUUUUCACUGGAGAAAGAAUAUUCAGUGACUCAACAGUUUUCUUGUGCUGCGAAAAUAAAGUUUCCUUUU